UCCUACUGUACGUUGUACAACUCAGAAUGGCACAUUUGUAUUUGAUUUUCUGCAUCCUGGCACUACAGUACAAGUCCAAUACAUGUGUGCAGCUCAUACAGGUUCACCAGACACCAAAGGAGCUGAUUCUUUCCCCUGGAUCAUCUCUGAAGGUCUCCUGCUCUGUAAAUGGUACUGAUUAUCCAAAUCUGUACUGGUACCAGUGGACUCCAGCAGCAGGCUUCACACUGGUAUUCACCUCUGUGAGUGUGGGGUCGGUGGAUCCAUCUAGCAACGGCCAGUUUAAGUCACAAAGACCUGAAAAGCUCCAGAUAGAUCUGGAGUCUGAUGCAGUGAGUGAGAGUGACUCUGCUGUGUGGUACUGUGCAGCCAGUCUACACAGUAUUCCAGACUAAUCACUGAGCUGUACAAAAACCACACCAGACUAAACCCAGGCCUCUUCUU